GCAGGUAGCUCAGUUGGCAGAGCACAAGACUCUUAAUCUGGGGGUCAUGGGUUCGAGUCCCACGGUGGGCA